AACACGUGGAGAACGUGCCCUUAAGUGGGGGAUAAUCUCGGGAAAUUGAGGAUAAUACCCCAUAGAUCAUGAGAUCUGGAAUGACUCAUGGUUCAAAGUUCCGGCGCUUAAGGAUCGCUCUGCGGCCUAUCAGGUAGUAGUGGGUGUAAAGUACCCCCUAGCCUACGACGGGUAUGGGCCUUGAGAGAGGGAGCCCAGAGUUGGAUUCUGAGACACGAAUCCAGGCCCUACGGGGCGCAGCAGUCGCGAAAACUUCACACUGGGGGGAACCCCGAUGAGGGAAAUCCUAGUGCUAGGACAUUUGUUCUAGCUUUUCUCAAGCGUAGAUAACUUGAGGAAUAAGGGCUGGGUAAGACGGGUGCCAGCCGCCGCGGUAAUACCUGCAGCCCAAGUGGUGGUCGAUUUUAUUGAGUCUAAAACGUUCGUAGCCGGUUUGGUAAAUCUUUGGGUAAAUCGGGAGGCUCAACUUUCCGACUUCCGAAGAGACUGCCAAACUUGGGACCGGGAGAGGCUAGAGGUACUUCUGGGGUAGGGGUAAAAUCCUGUAAUCCUAGAAGGACCACCGGUGGCGAAGGCGUCUAGCUAGAACGGAUCCGACGGUGAGGGACGAAGCCCUGGGUCGCAAACGGGAUUAGAUACCCCGGUAGUCCAGGGUGUAAACGCUGCAGACUUGGUGUUGGAGGCAAUUCGGUUGCAUUCAGUGCCGGAGAGAAGUUGUUAAGUCUGCUACUUGGGGAGUACGUCCGCAAGGAUGAAACUUAAAGGAAUUGGCGGGGGAGCACAAUCUCCAGUC
rnacentral:rRNA from 1 species